AGAGUUUGAUCAUGGCUCAGGAUGAACGCUGGCGGCGUGCCUAACACAUGCAAGUCGAACGAAGCACUGAGAGUUUGAGAUUUCGGUCAAGAACACUCUUUGACUUAGUGGCGGACGGGUGAGUAAUGCGUGAGCAACCUGCCUUUCAGAGGGGGACAACAGUUGGAAACGACUGCUAAUACCGCAUGGUAUAUUUGGAUCGCAUGAUCUGGAUAUCAAAGAUUUAUCGCUGAAAGAUGGGCUCACGUCUGAUUAGUUAGUUGGUGAGGUAACGGCUCACCAAGACUGCGAUCAGUAGCCGGACUGAGAGGUUGAACGGCCACAUUGGGACUGAGAUACGGCCCAGACUCCUACGGGAGGCAGCAGUGGGGAAUAUUGGGCAAUGGGCGAAAGCCUGACCCAGCAACGCCGCGUGAAGGAAGAAGGUCUUCGGAUUGUAAACUUCUUUUAUCAGGGACGAAGAUAGUGACGGUACCUGAUGAAUAAGCCACGGCUAACUACGUGCCAGCAGCCGCGGUAAUACGUAGGUGGCAAGCGUUAUCCGGAUUUACUGGGUGUAAAGGGCGCGUAGGCGGGGAUACAAGUCAGAUGUGAAAUCUAUGGGCUUAACCCAUAAACUGCAUUUGAAACUGUAUCUCUUGAGUGUCGGAGAGGUAGACGGAAUUCCUAGUGUAGCGGUGAAAUGCGUAGAUAUUAGGAGGAACACCAGUGGCGAAGGCGGUCUACUGGACGAUAACUGACGCUGAGGCGCGAAAGCGUGGGGAGCAAACAGGAUUAGAUACCCUGGUAGU
rnacentral:rRNA from 1 species